rnacentral:rRNA from 1 species
GUGGGGAAUUUUGGACAAUGGGCGCAAGCCUGAUCCAGCAAUGCCGCGUGCAGGAAGAAGGCCUUCGGGUUGUAAACUGCUUUUGUACGGAACGAAAAGGCUCUGGUUAAUACCUGGGGCUCAUGACGGUACCGUAAGAAUAAGCACCGGCUAACUACGUGCCAGCAGCCGCGGUAAUACGUAGGGUGCAAGCGUUAAUCGGAAUUACUGGGCGUAAAGCGUGCGCAGGCGGUUUUGUAAGACAGACGUGAAAUCCCCGGGCUCAACCUGGGAAUGGCGUUUGUGACUGCAAAGCUGGAGUGCGGCAGAGGGGGAUGGAAUUCCGCGUGUAGCAGUGAAAUGCGUAGAGAUGCGGAGGAACACCGAUGGCGAAGGCAGCCUCCUGGGAUAACACUGACGCUCAGGCACGAAAGCGUGGGGAGCAAACAGGAUUAGAUACCCUAGUAGUCA